AUCUAAAUAGUUUAAUAAAAUAUUGAUUUGUGGUAUCAAAGAUACAUCAUAUGUUUUAGAUU
rnacentral:tRNA from 1 species